GCUCUAUAUCCGCAAAUAUAGUCUAAGAGGCCACGCCCCAGUGGGCGGGUAACCACUGGCUGUAAGACUUCCUACAGCAUUUAGGAGCCUGGAAUUUGAGAGGAGUGAUCUGUACACCUUUUUCUAGGUAAUAGGAAGCCACUGGAGGAUGUGAAGGGGUAGUGAACCGAGUGUUAUGAAACUGCGGAGUAGAGACUGGAGCAGAGAAAUCAGCGAGGAGCAUUCUUGUACCUAGGUGCCAAAGGCUCAGGUGACCAAGAAGAUGUGGAAAAGAGGAGAACGUGCAAGGGUGACUCAAACUUUCUGGGGUUUGUCUAUGUUUUUUUAUUCAUUUUGUUUUUGAGACAGGCUUUGAACUGCUGAGCCUCCUGUCUCCACCACCCGAGUGCUGAUGUUACAGAUAUGCACCGCCGCACCCAAUAAGUUGCUGGGGACCAAACCCAUAUCUUGUGAAUGCCAGAGAGGCACCCAACCAAUUGGGCUACAAACCCAGUCCAGUUUUUGGGAAGAUGCCGUGGGCUAGGCAGGCAUCAUACGUUGGAUAUCCUGAUAGGAGCCUUCAGCCUGGGGACCCACCACACAGAGACUCUGCCCACAAGGAAAGGGAGGCAGAGCAGAGCGGAGUCCAUGUGGUUGUAAAGGAAGCAGAACCACAGAGUGGCAUCAGUUAAUGGUCAGAUGCCUGAGGAAUCCUGAGGAACAUGUCUGCAAGCUCUGAGUCCUGAGGACCAUCCUCGCCAGAAGGGUUCUGAGAAUCCAAAAGAGGGCCGCAAACAUGCUGGACAAGUGUUCUACAACCUCAGGCUAAAGUGGGUGUGGUCCCACAUACCUGAAGCCCUAGCACCUGGAAGAUGGAGGGUGAGGAAUCAAAAGUCAUCAUCUUUGGCUAUAUUUUGAGUUCAUGACUAGCAACUACAUGCAACUAAGAAAAGAAUGAAAACAAACAAAUAAACAGGCACACCCCAAGUCUGCUGUUUUAUAAUUGAAGGCAGUCUGUGAGGUACACAAAGUGUGAUCUCAGUUUGGCUUUCUAUACCUGCCAUCUCUGUUUCCAGCUUUCCCUGUAAUCUGUUUCUAACCUCCACCUAUCUAAAGACAAAAUCCACCACAAUCAGUGUGGCAGUCAGGCUGGACUCUUCUCAUAGGGUGAGCUCCCUGUGCGCUGAGUGCAGACAGAGGCUGACUAAAGGGAUACUUUUCCGUUUUAAGUUUAUUGAAAAGGCAAAGAUAUCCAUGAAGGUAGAAAUGAUCCAAGUGACCAAUAAACAUACAAAGUGAAAACUUAUUAAUUAUUAAAAUGCAAAUUAAAGCAGCGUUGUGAUGCUUUGUUUUAGCCUAUCCCCUUUGAAGAAGAAAUUUGCUUGUGAACAAUACAUCCUGAUGGCAAUGUGGCAAGAGAAACUCUGUAGACUGCACAUUUGAGGUUGACUCUGUUUGGUCUUUCUGAAAAACUCUUUGGCUAGAUGUCAAAACGCUGUAAAAUAUGCAAUUUAUCAAUAAAGUUGAUGUAAAGA